rnacentral:tRNA from 2 species
GCGUAAUUGGUUUAGUGGUAAAAUUCUCCGUUGCCAUCUGUGUAACAUCGGGGAGCCCUGGGUUCGAUUCCCAGAUUACGCA